rnacentral:misc_RNA from 1 species
AACGGUCUAUACCUGCGGUACCUGCGGAAGGAUCAUUAUCGAGAGUGCGAGGGUCGACUGUAGCUGGUCUUCACCCUCUCGAGGGGGGGGGGAGGGCAUGUGCACGUGGCUCGCCUUCAUUUCCACACACUCACACUUGUGCACCAUAGGUCGAGGCCUCCCAUGAGGAGCCGUCCCGUGCUUUCGUUGCGGGACCGAGGUCUCGUUCCUCUUUCCACUCUAUCUGGUUUCACGCAUGUC